ensembl:misc_RNA Metazoa_SRP Metazoan signal recognition particle RNA
GCUGGGUGUGGUGGUGUGCACCUGUAGUCCCAGCUACUCAGGAGGCUGAGGCAGUAGAAUUGCUUGAACCCGGGAGGUGGAGGUUGCAGUGAGCCGAUAUUGUGCCACUGCACUCCAGCCUGGGUGACAGAGCGAUACCCUGUCUCAA